AUAAGGCAAAAUAUUAUCUCAAGCGGCCAUUUAUGGCAUAAAUUGUGUACAAAGCCUUUAAGGCACGUUAUUAUCGAAAUCAUUUAUGGAAAGCAGAGUCGAGACUCAUUUCAUAAUAUGUUUCAUAUUUUCUCAUGUCAUAUGCAUCGUCAGGUACAAUUACAAUUCUAGUCCUCGACACAUUGGCCAUACUCUAUUUCUCAAAGUCAUUUGACUUAUUUUAACGCCUCUAUACACAUAGGAUUUCACAUAGUUUGGCACAAUAUAUGCAGCUCUAAUUUCAAUUAAAGGUCUUAGCAUUUGAACACAUGAUUCAUAUUCCUUACACCCUUUUUAAGUCAUCAACAAUAGCACCUUGAUCAUAUUGGAAUGCAUUUUUCACAAAUAUAAGGCCGCAACAAUAAUUCAUGUAAAGUACCAAUCACAGCAAGAAUCCAAAGUUCAAUCUUACCACAUUUAUACAGUCACUUACUUCACUUCCGAACAUCUUCAUAUAUUACCAACAACUAGACACAAUCAAUCGAGUACAUUUGGUACAUAUAAUAACAAUUUGGAAGAUCAACCAUAAAGAGUUUUCUCACACAAUUUGGCAUCAAAAUCUCAAUUUAAACUUGACUUGAAGUCUACGCAUUUUAGCACAUAGUUCACAUUCUUCACAUAUCUUCAUUUACCAAGAAAACAUAUUAAGCACAUGAAGAAGUACCUCCCACAUAUAUUUUCACAACAAUAAUUCGCGUAACAUAACAAAACGAGUAUUGCAUCAAUUAUAUUUUGAACUUACAACAUUUACGCGAGCACCAUUGAAGCUUGAUUCUAAAAGGUGGGGUUUUACUUGAACUCACAACAUUUACGCGAGCACCAUUGAAGCUCAAUUUCUAAAAGGUGGGGUUUUAGCCGUGCAUACUGAUGAUAUACUACAUGAUUUGGUGGUGCAGACAUUAGUUGGAACAAGGGUACUCUCUUUAACAACAAGUUCUACCAAUCACUCCAUGGCUCAACACAUUCUUCUAACAAGCCCUUGGGUAGUCCACUCAGACUCCAUAGUGGGAUAAAUCCCUCUUUACAUGCUUCAAAUUCGCGGAUUAUGGUAUCAAAGUUACCAAUCUUGAGAAUCAUACUUAGAGAGGAAAUUAGCUCCCUAUCUUGAGCCAUAUCGCACGAUCUGGAAUGUUAAAGAAGGGUGAAAUUCCUAAAUGUCAAAAUAGCCUCCAACUUAUAGAUGUGGUCGACAACACACCGAUAAGAAGGACUCU
rnacentral:lncRNA from 1 species